rnacentral:ribozyme from 1 species
GCUUUUUGAGUUCUUCUUGCUGCUUGGCAAGCUCAUCUUCAUUCAGGGCCAAGCUGGACUGCUUGUGGAUGCCCUCGGGGUCGACGACGGAGCCCUAGCCGGAGCUCGCCGCACCCUACUCAAAAGACUUUUCGACCAUUUUUCU